UAUCUCCUCAAUCCCGACAUGUCCCGGGCUCCGAACGUCUCCUGGGAAGCGGCACGAUGGAUCAAGGCCUCCCCAGCCCCGGGCCCCCUUCUCGGCCAUUCCCGGGACCGGUCUGACUUGUUCCCAGGUAAUCUGAGGGGAAACCGAGAAAUCAGCACGCUGAGAAGAGGAGCAGUGCUACGCAAGAGGCCAUGGAGGAUGGAUAGAGACGGACAGAUGGGUAGAACCUCUGGAAGCAGCAUGUGUGUGGGUUGUGGGAGUCCUGCUUAUGUGGAGCCUGUGUAGACUGUGUGAGGCUGGAUGGGGGAGAGUGAGCAGAAGUGUGAUGGCGAGGGUCAUGUGAGUGUACAUGUGUGAGCCUGUGUGAAGCUGUGGCUGUCUCCUAUUUAUGGCUGCCUGAAGCUUUUAUUUUCUGUGCCUAGAAAUUUCUUCCCUCUGUUGUAUAAUAAAGAAUUUGUCUGGCCUUUGUCCCUGGUUCCUGAGAGGGAGACUCUGAAUCUUUAGAAUUUCCCAAGUAAUCGGAGUAUCUUUGUUAUUUAUGAGCCCCUUGGAUCACACCUGAGUUUAUGCUAAGGGAUGAGAUGAUUUAGGAUGGAGGCUGGUCACCAGAAACACCAACCAUGUUAUUGCAGAGAUGGGGCUUUGAGCCAGCCUGACCGGGGAGGGGAGGAGGGCUGGAGAUUGUUUAGUCAUGUGGCCAACAAUUCAUUCAUGUCUGUGUGAUGAAAUCUCAAUGAAAACCAAAGCUCAUGGAUCUUCCUGGUUGGUGAACAUACUGACUGACGUGCUGAGAGGGUGAUGUGCUCUGUGUGUCUCUGUGGGGAGAGUGUGCAAACUCUGCAUUUGAGACCCUCCCAGACUUUGCCCUGUGUAUCUCUUCAUUUGGCUGUUCCUGGUUUAUAUCUUUUGUAAAAAACUAAUUGUAAGUGUAGCACUCCUGAGUUCUGUGAGCCACUCCAGUGAAUUAUUGAACCUGAGGAGCAUUGUGAGAACAUCCAGGACUUGUAGCUGGUUGGUCAGAGAUGCAGGUGGCCUGGGGACCCCACUUGUAGCUGGCAGCUCAAGUGGGGGCAGGUUUUUUGGGACUGUGCCCUUAAACCUGUGGAGUCUAACGCUAACUCUGGGUAGUUAGUGUCCGAAUUGAAUUGCAGUACAUGAGUUGGUCGCAGGAUACCUCUCCGCUGGAUGUGCUCCCCACUGUCUCCUUCUCUCUGGAAGAACCUUUUUUCCCUUUCAUAACUCUUCAGUAGCCUCCCUGUCCCCAUUCCCCCAUUUCUCACUCCUUGUCUUUAGCUCUGAGGAUCUCAGCAAUCAGCAGUUUGGAAGAAGGAAGGAGGGUUUGUACUGUUGCCCUUAGGGAAGGUUUGCAGUGUUAUCUCCUCCGAGGUAUUUGAACUCUCAGACUUCAGGCUAGGGGUCAGGGCUUGGUUCAGGAUUAGAGGUUCAGUAAAGAGUGCCUCCCUCUUUCCCAGGUUUCUCCUCACCUCCACCUCUUCUCGGUGGUCCUAAGACACCUGGAGUGGGAAGGAUGGGACCUAGCUGGUCCCCUAGAUUCCCUGAGGACAAUCACAAGAAGCGGGAUAAGGCUGGAGAAGGUCCCCUCCCAGGUUCCCCAGGUCUCCGUAGGCCUAUCUCAGUGCUUCCACAUCCAUCAUCUGAGACUCACUCAUCCCUUGGACAAGCAGAGGUAAAGGGAAAGUUCUUUGGGAGCAGGUCCAGCUCCCCUACCUCACAUCCUGGGACUCUAGGGCUUCACCCUCCUGGCCCACCCAGUACUGCCCCUCUCCCCAUUGACACAUUUUCCUGUGUUCCAAGCUGAAUUGGAGGAAUAGAUUGAGAUAAGCCUGGCCUAGAACACUCCCUUCUUCUAACCAUGCCUUACCUAUCCUGAGAAUUACGAGGGGAUUUCUGAGGAAAAAGAGGCUGGUCAGUUCACAGACCAGGAAUCUAGAGAUGAGAGAGGGGAGCAAAUACUUUUCCCAACUGAUGAGAGAGAUCCAAGAGACAGAGACCAGAGGAGGAGACCUCUCAGGAAAGACUAAUUGUGGAGUGCUAUUCUGUUUCCCAUUCCCAGCCCUAGAGCAUAUGAUGUGACACACUUAACUGUGGGCCCAUUUUUUUCUGGCUUAUCUAUCCAUCAUUCAUCCAUCCAUCCAUCCUUCCAUCCAUCCAUCCAUCCAUCCAUCCAUCUAUCUAUCCAUCCAUCAUGUGUCCAUAUGUCCACCCAUCUUUGUCUCUUCAUUGGUCCAUUUUUCCUUCUUCCAUAUUUCCUUUCAUCUGUCUUUUCAUAUCUUCAUCUGCACUUAUUCAUCUGUAUGUUCAACCAUUAUGCAUCUAGUAAGGCGUCCAUUUAUCUAUCUAUCAUUUAUGGUAAUAGUUAACAUUUGUUGAUCCUUAUGUGCCAGGUUCCCUGCUAAAUACUUUAAAUUUGUUGUUGCGUGACGAAGCUGUGAAGUAGAGUGCCAUAAGCUAUGUUUUUGUUCAUGCAGACACUGUUCUAUACUCCUUUUUAAGGUUCCUUUCGGGAGCUCCUCUCCCGCUUCAUAUAGUCUUGGUGGGUCUGUCAACCACAGUGCCCUGAUCAGAGCACCCCAUUCCCCAUCACUGUAAUAUACUGAAGAACUGAGUAUGUGUCACAAGCUCCUUAAUCAGAGCUUUUCAUGGAGUUUGAUGUUAGGAGAAAGAGGGUCUCUAUUUUAGAUCAUUCACUAUAAAAAUCUAGACUUGAGGCUUCCAGUGGCCAUAUUUGCUGCUGCUAGAAGAGCACCUGUCUAUAACAGGAAUGAGGCCCCCACACAAAGAAUUAGAAAUAAAGUUAAGAGAUGGUGAUAACAUCUUUUGAACCCCUGGAUCAAGUAGGGCUGAAGUAGACUAAAUCAUCUUAAUGGAUCUAGUUAUGUGAUAUGACAAGUAUAACUUUUUGCUUAAGCUACUUUAAGUUGGGUUUUUGUCUUUUGCAGGAGAAAGAGCUCUGAAUAAUGAUUACUGUAUUAUUAUCCCCAUUUAUAGAUGAGAAACCUAAAACUCAGAAAGAUUAGUUUACCCAAUGUUUCCCAGCUUAUAAAUGGCAGAACAUUGGCAUUUGGAGCAAAACUCUGGUAUACUACCUAUGUAUGUCUGUCUGUCCAUCUCUCCAUCCAGCCAUCCAUCAAUCCAUCCAUCCCAUUCAUUUAUUUAUCUGACCAUCCUUCAAUGCUAAGAUACCAAAGGCAGUAAGCCUUGUCCCAGUUGCCAACUCCAAUUCUAAGGCUGGGUUUGGGUGAGAUUAGCAAACUUUUUCUGUAAAAGUAAAAAGAUAGUAAAUAUUUAAAGUUUUGCUGGCCUCUGUAGUGACUAAUCAGUUUGCUGUUGUAGCCAAAAAGCAGCCAUAGACAAUCUGUAAAUGAAGAGGGAUGGCUGUAUUCCAAUAAAACUUUAUUUACAAAAACAGGUGGCAGGCUGAAUUUGGCCCAGGGGCCAUAAUUUGCUGAGCCUUGGUAUAGAUCUGUGGGGAAGAUGCAUACGUCCUGUCAUUGUUGAGAACAUGAGUUGGGAGUGGGAACAUGUAUGCCUUGCAUUUGCCAUUACUAAUGUAGUGGAAACAAUGGGUUUUCAUCCUCAGACUCUUGUGUUAGAAUCUGGCUUUAUGACCUUGGACAUAAACAGGGAACAGGUGACAGUUUCCUCAUCUGUAAAAUGGGAAUAAUAUAUAUCUAGUGAGGUAGGACAUGUGCCUGACUCACAGUGGGCAGUCGGUGAAAGUUCGGUCCGUCCCCCUUUCUCAUUCAUCACCUACCAUGUAUCACCAGUAUCCGAAGGCCUCUCUCUCUUUAGGGCAUCUUGGGAUGUGGUGAGGACAGCUCAGUCUGGCUUGCUGAGUUCAGGAGCCCAGCUUCUAAGAAUGAGCUUGCGUAUAAGUUACAUAGAUUAAGCUCUUGCCAACUCCACAUUUCUCUUUCUAGAAGCUCUACCCUAACUCUUAUCUGCCCUGUUCCAAACCUAAAGUCACUCUAGUUCCCAGCAAAACAAACGGCUCCCCAGUCAACUGGCCCUAUGAGACCUGGAAGCUGGACCCUCUUAUGAAGUCCACCACUCAGGAUAUCACCCGUUCCCCAGGGGGCUUUUCAGCCUAUUUCUUCUAAAGAAACACUCCUCUCCAGGAGGAAAGAUUGUGCCCAUGUGUGUUUGUGUGUCUGUGGCCAUGACUGUGUGUAUGUGUAAUCAUGUAUGUGCUUUUGUGUCUAUAUUGUGAUUAUAUGCUUAAAUGUCCGUGGUGUGUCCCUGAUGUAGGUGAGUGAUUGACUGUAUGCCUGUGUGUGGGGUGGGUAUGGACAUAUGUGGGUGAUGAGGGUGUCAGCACUUGUGUGUUUGUGUGAGCAUGUGUUCUGACUGCUUGUCAAUCCAUCCCUUCGUGGCUCUCAGCCUCCAAGGGCCUGCAGGGGGCAUCCAUUGCACAGGGAAAAUGGGAUAUGGGGCUCCUGGCCUGGGCUCAGCCUCCUGGGGCCUGCAGAGGGCGUCUAGCAUAUAGGAGAAAGGGGAUAUGGGACUCAUGGCCUGUGGAAGGGGAGCUCUGGCCUGAGGAGGCUGGGCUGUCUUGUUCCAGAAAGGAGCUGGAAAUGAGCAAGAAACCAGAUGACUCAGCUCCUGAAAGUCCCUGAUCCUGGGAAGGGGUCUGCUUCACACCUCCUUCUCCAAAGCCUCUGUCCAUAUCCAGAGGGUCCCUGCCCAGCCAGAGGGAAGGCUUGGGCCUGCAGGCUCAGAGUGUGGGUGGCACAUUGCAUAGGACUUCCGGAGGUGACGGGACACCAGGAUGGGGGAAGUCUUGAGCAAUAGCACACCCCCCUUCCCUGCCUCUUGCCCUCUGGAGUUUGAAGUAACACCACUGUCAGGAUUUCCCACACACCCCCUCUCCUUCGUUUCCUGCAAUUUGGGCCACUCUGAGCCCCAGGGUUCCUGAGCCUGGGCUAAGCUUGCUUGGGAGAUGCUCAGGAAACAAGGGCCCCUGAACACAAAGCAGAAGGUGACCUAUGUGGCUGGAGAUGGUGUGCCCUGGGGGAUCAGAGGGGAGGCUGCAGGGUGGAAGGAGCUCUGUAGAGCCAUGAGGAUGGGUGAGGCAGGAGGGAGGACAUUCCAGGGAGAAUGAAAAGCAAGCACAAGGCUCAGAGGAGGGAUCGGGUUUGUGAUUAAUCCCACUGUGGGUGAGGUGGGGGAAGGGCAAGUGGGGAGAGAAGCUAUGUGUGCGGGGAAGGUGGACUGGGGAAGUUAUUUCUGGUCAGAUCUAUCUUUGGAAAGAUUCCGGAGGAUGGAACCGUGGGGAUGACCAGCCCAGGUACUGCUCCUGCCCGGAGGAGGGAGGCUGAAGCCAGGGCUGGCCGUAGCUGUGGGGCUGGGGAGACACAGACACCACAGACAUAAAGAGGCACAAAGCUCAUGACUUGGUGGCCAACCAGAGUGAAGGAAAGAAGAGGUAGAAGGACUGGAAGUGACGUACAGAUUUUCUUCCGGGUUCCAGGCUGUAGAACCAACUGCCUGUUUGGGAUUUUCUCUUGGCUUUCUCAAAGACACCUUAUUUCAAACCAAACUCUCGAUUCCCAGUACCUCCCUCCCAGCUGGUCUCCUUUUCCAGUCAUCCACUGCAGAGGAUGUCACCACCAUCCCUCUAGCUGCUUGGGCCUGCAGACUGGUGUCAUCCUGGUUUUCCCCUUUCCCUCAGGCCUCAAAUAUAAGCUAUCAGCUCAGCCUGCUGUUCAGUUUCACAAGUAUGUCGAGAACCCUCCUCUGUUCCAGCUGCCACCAGCUGGCUCAGGUCAGCAUCGUUUCUUUCCUGGACUACUGGAAGAGCCCUCUGACCUUCCCACUGCCCUAUAGAACUCAUUUUCAAAACUUCCAGGAGGAUCUUCUUAAACUGUUAAUGAGGUCAUGUUACUCAUCUGCUUACGUCUUUCAUAGCCUUAACAAAAUUGGCACUCUUUCCUGUGUCCUGUAAAGACUCGGAUCAUGCAACCCCGGCCUCCCUGGCUUACCUCACCUUGUACCCUCUCCUCCUUGCCCACUAUACUCCAGCCACACUGGUCUUUUCUCCUCGAGGGGCUGACUUCUCUUUUAGGUGUUAGCUUAACUAUUGUCUCCUCAAAGAGGCCUUCCCUAACCACCCUAUUUAAAUGUAAAACAUGUCGUCGUUGCCAUCUCUUCCCAUUUUUAUCAUUCUUAGCCUUUUUUGUUGUGUCUUUCAUACAUAUAUCCAAUUUGAAGUUCUUUUAUUUAUAUGUUGUAGCAGACCUUUGUGUUGUUUUUGACUGACCACGUUUGAACCUCUUUCCCACAUAAAAGCCUGAUAGGCUGGAUACUCACUUUCUCACUCCCCCUGCAUUUAGGGAGUGGUCCCAUGGCCUGGUUCAGCCAAUCAGGUGCACCCUUCAGGACUGUAAAUUGGAGCUAGUGAUGAAAAGGAGAAGAGACCAUAGGGAUCCAUUUUGGUAGUGGUGAUGGUAAAGGUGGUAGCAGUGCCAGCCUCUGCUGCUCAGCCUUUUAGCUCAGCAGAUCCAGUGGUGAUAGCCAUGCUGUACAAGGUCAGUGAGGGUGCUUACACUCCCAGCAUGCCCAUUCCUGGGUUAUCGCCACCCUUGCAUCAGUCCACACCUAUAGCCCAUGGAAACUUCCCUAUGGCCAUUGACCCACAAAGCCAUUUUUGAGCCAGGCUUGUAUGGUUCUGCACAGUUUGCUUGGACUAGCUUGUGGUGGACCACUAUAAUGUUAAAGCUCCAUUCAGGGUGAUCCUGAAGGACAGUGGAGAAGAAUGUUUUUCUAGUGUGCAGAACAUCUCAUUCGUUUUUUCUGGAAGGGGAGUGGUUUUCUUAGAUUGGAAGCUAAGGCUAUCAUCUGGCUUGGGCUUCUCAUGCCACGGGGUGAAUGUGGAGUUAUCACACUGGCCUGGGAGGUCAAUCCUGACUAUUGAGGGGAAAUAAGGCUGCUGCUACAAGAUGGGGUUGUGGAGGAGUGUAAAGGCAUCCAGGUGAUCCUGGGGGUACCUGGGGUACCUCAUAGUGACGUCAUGCCCAGUUGUCAAAGUUAAUGGAGAACCCCUGUAACCUUCAUCAAGCUGGACCACCAGGGGCUGGUAUCCCUUGGGUGUGAAAGUUUGGGUCCCUUAACAAUCAUAGAAUAUCAACUGGCUGAAGUGCCAGUUGGAGGUAAAAGGAAUAAGUCAUAGAGGAAGGGUGGUAAAGAGAAUUCUAGAUUCCUGUCCCCUGGUUUGUGUAUCCUGUAUAAUCCUUCUUUGAGGGGUUCCCCUUGACCUCUUUACCUGUAAAUAUGAUAGGAUAUCACACAUGUGAUUAAGCUAUUGCCAUAUGGCAAAAAUGAAGGGAUUUUGCAGAUGUAAUUAAGGUCCCUAAUCAAUUGACUUUGAGUUAGUCAAAAGGGAGAUUAUCCUGGGUGGGCCUGACCUAAUCAGAUAGGUCCUUUAAAAAAGUGUCUGGAGAUAAGAGGCAGCAGCAGAUGCUCUCAUGUUGGCCUUGAAGAAGCAAACUGUCCUGUUGUGGAGAGGGCCAUGCAGCAGGGAGUUGCAGGCAGCUCUAGGAACUGAGGACCUCAGUCCUACAACCCCAACUGCCAACACCCAGAGGCUGUAGAAGAGGAGUCUGAGCCUGAGAUGAGGUUGCAUCCCCAAGUUCAGCCUGGGGAGACCCCGAGCAGAGGACCCAGCCAAUCUGUACCUGGACUGCUGACCCACAGCAACUGAGAGGUUCUUGUGGUGAUGUUGCUCGUACUCAUGAAGACUCUGGUUUACUUCUGGCAGUUGCCCUGUUGAUGUUGGGCAUGGCUCUGUGACCGACUUCAGCCAAUGAAAUGUGUGCAGAAGUGGCAUGUGUCAUCUGUGGACAGAAGCAUUUAAGCAAGGAUUCCCCUUGCUGUCUUCCGUGGCUGGAAUGAUCAUGGAACAUGUGUUGAGAUGAAGGAGCAUGCCCAAAGAUCAAGGCAGCCGGAAAUGUUGAGCCACCGUAAGGAGCACAGCUGUGCUAGAGACUCGCCUGGACCCACAGCAGGCUUGGUGUGCAUGGGGAAUAGAAUUUUGUUGCCUUAAGCCACUCAGAUUUGGGUGGCAUUUGUUGUUGCAGCGUAACCCAGCCUAUCCUAACCAAUCAGGUGUCUUGGUGGUGGUUCUCAGGUGGUAGAAUAGGGAGAUGAGAUUACAGCAAAACUAGGGGAGGAAUGGAUGUCACUUCCAGAUCUUGGAUUUAGAAUUGGAUUUUGUUGGGGGUGGGGGUGGGGUGGCACUGUGGCUGAGUGGUUAAAAUUCCACAUGCUCUGCUUCAGUGGCCCAGGUUUGAGGGUUCGGAUCCUGGGUGCAGACUA